CACCCCUCCACUUUUUCUAGCCGCCACUCUCUUCUUCCUCCUCUCCCACACGCACAACUCUCUCCUCCUUGCUCCAUGGCGCUGCAGCAAGGUCCUUCUUCCCCACAUCCGGUCGUCGUCCCCCUGGUCCUGCUCGGCGAUGCCCUUCUCCCCUAGGCCGGUGAGCAGGUCUUCUUCCUCCCUGCUUCACGGCAGCAAGCAUGGACGCCGCUGCUUUUUUUUUUUCCUCUCGCUCUGCUCGCUCGGCCGCCAGCAGCCAUGGCCGACCUCCACUUCCCAUGGACGGCGCCCAGAUUUUCGCGCACUCAGCCAUGGCGCCCAAGCCUGCGCAGCGCCCCUCUCCGAGCUCGCUCCUUCGCUGCUCCUUCCCAUGACCAGCGCCCCUGUUUUCCCAGCCGUGCAGCUCCCUUUUCGACUUCCAUGGUCGCCCAGCUCCCUGUCCACGGCGCCCAGGAAUUCCAACAGCAGCUCAUCCCCUCCCAGCGCCCCCUUCUGCUCCAUGGCUGCAAGAAGCCUCUCCAUGGCUGACGCACAGGUGGCCAGCAGCUCUGCUCGCCCCUUGUACCUUGAGCAGCAAGAAGCAGCGCCCCUAUCUCCUUUUCCCCGCAGCCCCACCAAAUCGACGCGCCGUAGGUGCUCGACAAAAUGCGCAGCUCCAUUUCUCCAUGGCCGCGAGCUUUUCCUUGCUGCGACUGCCUCCCAAGGACAGCGCGUAGCAGCCUCCCCGUGGCCAUGGUCUGCAACAAGAUGUCGUGCGCUACAUGUUCGAUGUUUUGCGCAGCAGCUCCGACGUCUCCACGCGGCUCGCUGCUUUGUGCUGCGCAGCAAACAGCCGUCGACGCCCGCCGUGUGUUCGCUGUUUUGCGCAGCCCCAAUAUCGUCGUCAUUCACCCCGGUGAGACCACGACAAUUCUUGUUUAAUUUCACAUCGACAUUAUUCUCCGGUGAUUAAUUGUGUAUGUGUUGCUUGUUUUGUUUUGUGGAGGAGACGAACCCCGUGUUUUGCGGGGAGAAGGCAAGUCGUUCGACGCUCGUUGACGUUCGAAGCGAUGCACAAAUCGGAAUCACCGUAGUUCUUGCAAACGCCGAUUGGGUUUGUUUAUGGACCGAGAGAUGCCGAUCGAGCAACUGAUGUGGUGCCAACC